CCUGAUGGCUCACAUGGAAAAAGCAUCUGCCUACAAUGCAGAAGACCAGGGUUUGAUCCCUGGGUCGGGA
rnacentral:tRNA from 1 species